rnacentral:misc_RNA from 1 species
CUCUGUAGAUUUAUCCAGGAUAACAAUUUAACUUGCUAUUGCGAAUUUGAAUGAACAGGAUCAUGUUUAGAUGCUAGUACAGGGCUUAUCUAAAUCUAACCAUUAAGUAAUGAUGGGUAGAAAACGCAAGGAGAGUAAGGGAAGAGGCAGCAUCCUAGCAAGUCUAGCUGCAUCCAAGGACCAAAACUGUGGAAAGCUUCUUUGCGACAAAAUUUGAUAUGAAAAAAAAAAAAAAAACACUGUUAUUCAAGUCGUUAUCCUACAUGUGAUAGUCUAAAUGAAGAAAGCUCUCAUACGAUGUUCCAUUCAGUACUUGUGAGACCUCAUCCCAGUUCUGAAUUUGGUCUGAUAAGGCUCCACUGUGUAUCUUAACCUGACGACUUGUGAGCUCUCUAUGUGGCAACCUUAGAAACUCCUGAACCUCUUUGAGUUUCGUGCGAUUGCUCACAACAUCUUCAUAGUAAACAACAAUGUGGCGAGUGCUC